rnacentral:rRNA from 1 species
CUACGGGCGGCUGCAGUGGGGAAUAUUGGGCAAUGGGCGCAAGCCUGACCCAGCAACGCCGCGUGAGGGAAGAAUGUCUUCGGAUUGUAAACCUCUGUCCUUGGGGACGAAAAAAAUGACGGUACCCAAGGAGGAAGCUCCGGCUAACUACGUGCCAGCAGCCGCGGUAAUACGUAGGGAGCAAGCGUUGUCCGGAAUUAUUGGGCGUAAAGGGUGCGUAGGCGGCGCUGUAAGUCAGAUGUGAAAUCCCCGGGCUUAACUCGGGAGUUGCAUUUGAAACUACAGUGCUUGAGUAAAGAAGGGGUAAGUGGAAUUCCUAGUGUAGCGGUGGAAUGCGUAGAUAUUAGGAGGAACACCAGUGGCGAAGGCGACUUACUGGUCUUUUACUGACGCUGAGGCACGAAAGCGUGGGGAGCAAACAGGAUUAGAUACCCUUGUAGUC